rnacentral:tRNA from 1 species
AGGGAUAGAGCUCAGUGGUAGAGUGCAUGCCUAGCCUGCAGAAGGUUCUGGGUUCAAUCCCCAGUACCUCCA